UUGCGGGAGUGCCGGAGCCUAUCCCAGCUAACAUCGGACGAAAGGCAGACUACACUCUCAACUGGUCGCCAGUGAGUCGCAGGGCACAUACAGUAUGGCCACCAUCACUGAGUGGGAAUCGAUCCAACGCUGCCUGCACCAAAGUCAGAUUGAAAGAGAACCCGGUGCAAACUGCAGACUUGUUAGCAUCAGUUCAAGCUUUUACUACAAAGAAGAGAGACAUUUACUCACAGUGUGAUACACUAAAGUGCCUCCGUGCCUUGAUUUGUCUUCUUGCCACAAAGCAAGAUGAACACAGAGAGGAUAAAGGCAAAGCUCACACAGCCAAAGGUGACUCACUGACUCUGCUGCUCCCAAGAGAACAACCUCCAUAGCUCAGAGAUGAUUUCUAUUAGGCGACGAGCAACUCCGA